AUCCAGACUCCUACGGGAGGCAGCAGUGGGGAAUAUUGCACAAUGGGGGAAACCCUGAUGCAGCAACGCCGCGUGAGUGAAGAAGUAUUUCGGUAUGUAAAGCUCUAUCAGCAGGGAAGAAGAUGACGGUACCUGACCAAGAAGCCCCGGCUAACUACGUGCCAGCAGCCGCGGUAAUACGUAGGGGGCAAGCGUUAUCCGGAUUUACUGGGCGUAAAGCGCUCGUAGGCGGUAUUUCAAGUCAAGGGUGAAAUCCCCGCGCUCAACGUGGGAACUGCCUUUGAAACUGGCAAACUGGAGUGUGUGAGAGGAUAGUGGAAUUCCAGGUGUAGGAGUGAAAUCCGUAGAUAUCUGGAGGAACAUCAGUGGCGAAGGCGACUAUCUGGCACAUAACUGACGCUGAGGCGCGAAAGCGUGGGUAGCAAACAGGAUUAGAUACCCUAGUAU
rnacentral:rRNA from 1 species